rnacentral:rRNA from 1 species
AACGGGGGGAGCAAGUGUUAUUCAAAAUAACUGGGCGUAAAGGGCGAGUAGACGGUAUCUCUAGUGUUUUCGUUUUUUUUGAAUGGAUGAAAGACAACUGACAGGAUAGCUAGAGUUUAUUAGGUGUUGGUGGUAUUUAACGUAUAGGGGUGAAAUGCGGCAUAUGUUAAAGACGAACAACGGGCGAAGGCGACUAACAAUGAUAAACUGACGUUGAGGCGCAAAAGCGUAGGGAGCAAACAGG